CUCUGUGACUCCUACGGGAGGCAGCAGUGGGGGAAUAGUUGCACAAUGGGCGCAAGCCUGAUGCAGCAACGCCGUGUGAGUGAAGAAGGUUUUCCGGAUCGUAAAACUCUGUCCUAAGGGAAGAAACAAAUGACGGUACCUUAGGAGGAAGCCCCGGCUAACUACGUGCCAGCAGCCGCGGUAAUACGUAGGGGGCAAGCGUUAUCCGGAAUCACUGGGCGUAAAGGGUGCGUAGGCGGCUUAGCAAGCCAGGGGUGAAAGGCAUUGGCUCAACCAAUGUAAGCCUUUGGAACUGUUAAGCUUGAGUGCAGGAGAGGUAAGUGGAAUUCCUAGUGUAGAGGUGAAAUUCGUAGAUAUUAGGAGGAACACCAGUGGCGAAGGCGACUUACUGGACUGUAACUGACGCUGAUGCACGAAAGCGUGGGUAGCGAACAGGAUUAGAUACCCUGGUAG
rnacentral:rRNA from 1 species